CGCGCAGGCUCAGCGGCCAUGGCUCACGGGCCCAGCCGCUCCGCGGCACGUGGGAUCUUCCCGGACCGGGGCACGAACCCGUGUCCCCUGCAUCGGCAGGCGGACUCUCAACCACUGCGCCACCAGGCAAGCCCGAGAUAUUCUAAUUUUUAAAGGAAUGAGGACAUUGGAAGGAUUAUUCUAAAAUCUCUAUUGAACUAAAUGCUACUCAUCUUGAUCUCCAGGCAGCUCUCACUGAUGUUGAAAAGAAAGACAUUUGCAGAUCUGGAGCUAUGGCUUAUCUUCAAGAUAAAAAGAUGUAAAAAUGAAGAAUUAAACAGUUAACAAAUGACUAGCUCUCUACCCCCAACAGCCCCCUUAAGCAAUCCUGCAGGUAGAUCACGCAGGCAAGAUCACAUCUGAAGAAAGAGUCAGCCAGUCUACCUAAUGGAGAAUGAGGCAGAGCCCAACCUCCUGCCUCAAUGAUUCACUGAGAUUCUUCCCCUUUUUCCCCUUUAAAAACUGAGCAG